ACUGCUCAGUAACACGUGGAUAACCUGCCCUAAGGAAGGGGAUAACCUCGGGAAACUGAGGAUAAUACCCUAUAGGUUACAGACGCUGGAAUGCCCUGUAACCGAAAGUUCCGGCGCCUUAGGAUGGAUCUGCGGCCGAUUAGGUUGUUGUUGGGGUAACGGCCCAACAAGCCGAUAAUCGGUACGGGUUGUGGGAGCAAGAGCCCGGAGUUGGAUUCUGAGACAUGAAUCCAGGCCCUACGGGGCGCAGCAGGCGCGAAAACUUUACAAUGCGGGAAACCGUGAUAAGGGAACCCCGAGUGCCUGUAUAUGCAGGCUGUCCAGAUGUCUAAAAAACACCUGAAGAAAGGGCCGGGCAAGACCGGUGCCAGCCGCCGCGGUAAUACCGGCGGCUCGAGUGGUGGCCACUUUUAUUGGGCUUAAAGCGUUCGUAGCUGGGUUGUUAAGUCUCUUGGGAAAUCUGACGGCUCAACCGUCAGGCGUCCAAGGGAUACUGGCAAUCCUGGAACCGGGAGAGGUGAGGGGUACUUCGGGGGUAGGAGUGAAAUCCUGUAAUCCUCGAGGGACCACCUGUGGCGAAGGCGCCUCACCAGAACGGCUUCGACAGUGAGGGACGAAAGCUGGGGGAGCAAACCGGAUUAGAUACCCGGGUAGUCCCAGCCGUAAACGAUGCGCGUUAGGUGUAUCGGUGACCACGAGUCACCGAGGUGCCGAAGGGAAACCGUGAAACGUGCCGCCUGGGAAGUACGGUCGCAAGGCUGAAACUUAAAGGAAUUGGCGGGGGAGCAC
rnacentral:rRNA from 1 species